AAUGAAUACUCACCAUUUGCUUCAACAUGAAUAGAACUGGAGGGUAUUACACUGAGUGAAGUCCAUGGAGAUGAGCAAUCCUGCACCACCCAAGAUCCUGGAACUUGCAGCCCACAGCCUCCUGAGCAAUGAGGCUUCACCCAUACCUGCCUUGGAAGAGUUCACAGUCAAGUACUUCCCACCACUGCUCAUGGCUGCUUUUGCCAAAAGGUGGCGGCUCUGAAGGCACUGGUGCAGGUCUGGUCCUUCCCCUUUCUCCACCUGGGCUCCCUGAUUGUACAGUGGCCCAACCAAGACAGCCUGCAAGCUGCGCUUGCCUGCCCUGCCCAGAGGACUUGUCCCAGGUAAGGGGGUUGCUGGACUGAAGUAUGGGUGCUGAAAGAGCUCUGAGUUGGAGGUAGAGCUGGGAAGGAAGGGAGGGAGUACUGGAAUCUGCUAGGGCUGUGAGUGAGGAUCUCUGCGUGAAGUGGUUGAUGGUGUAGCUGAAGAGCAUUAAGGGGUGUGCUUUUUACCUUCUAGGGAUUGUGGUAGAGGUUGUGUGAGGAAUAGGGACUGGAAAGUAGGAAGGGAAAAACCCAUUAGAGAGGAGAGGACUAGGGGGGCACCUAGGAAGGGCUGAUGCUGAGACUGGGGACUUAGACUCCACAGUGGCCCAGGGCUGCUGCUGCUGCUGCUGCUGCUGCUGCUGCUCUGCUUACCCUGGGCCCUGAUGGGCUCCCCAGAUGUCAGCAUCUCCUCACACCGCUCUCAUCUCCACAGGAGGUCAGAACUGAGGGUGCUGGAUUUGACCUUGGACUCCGAACAGGUCCAAGGUAAAGGCGCCUCUGAGGCCCUGGCCAGGUUCCCUUUUUGGUUACCAUUCACAGUGAUGCCCCCGGCCAGGGCCAAGCCCAAGCCAGCAGAGUCUGCAAGAACUAGUGGAAUUACACAUGGAUCUUUUCCUAUGAAGGCCCCUCAAGUUAGAUACAUUCCUCUCUGGCCUCCUGAAUAAAGUGGAAGGGAGCUGUGGGUCCCUGCCUCUCUGCAGUAGAAAGUUGCAUAUUAAAGAAAUGCCUUUUAAUAGCCUUAUAGGGAUCCUGAAAAUCCUGAACCUAGAUUUCAUUCAGGAGCUGGAGGUGUUUGACUGGUUCUGGGCACUGUCUGAGCAGAGCCUGUUUGCCACCCAGCUGGGCAGGAUCUGCAACCAGCAAGGCCUCAAGCUGGCCUGCUACCACUGGGCCUUCUCCUCUGAGCCUGAGCAGCCCUCCAGGUACUUCCUGUCAUAGCUCAGCAAGCUGGGUCACCUUCAGAAGCUCUACUCUUACUCCUACCUGUCAGGCAACCUGCAUCAAGUGCUCAGCUCCUGUCAGCAGUCCUACCAGGUACUAAUGUGGUCUCCAUUUCACCAGAGAAACUGUGUCGGGGGUGUUGGAAGAGAACCUAGGAGUCACCUGCAGGAGCCACUGCACUCCCUGGAGAUCCGCUCCUGUACGUGGGCAUCACCUACUUGUCUCAGAACUUUUCACACCGCCUCCCUGAAGAAGCUGGAUCUGAGUGGUGACAACCUGUCGUACAUGGUCCCUGGGCCCUUGGAGACUCUGCUGGAGGAGGUCUCGGGGACACCGCAGCACCUGUACCUGAAGCACUGCCAGCUGAAGGACGCCGACCAGGCUGCAGAAGCUGUUGGAGACCAUGCAGUGGAGCUGCCCCUGUGGCUACUGCAGCUCCAGAGGGGCGGUUCGGGGGUGGAGGGGUCUGGAAGCUCGCCUGGGGCCCCAGGCUUCCUGGGGGGUUCUGUGCUCUCCUUCCUUUUUUUUAUUUUUAUUUUUCAUUUUUUAUUUUGUGUGUGUGUGUGUGUGUGUGUGUGUUUGUGUGUGUGUGUUUUUUGUGUGUGUGUGGUUUUCUUUUUUUGUGCUCUCCUUCCUCAGCUGCAAGCCUCAGCCCGGUUCCGACACCCAUUUGUUCCCGUCUCCUGGGCAUGUGACAGAGAUUCCAGGAGCCCAGCCCUCGGGGAGCUCUUCUUUUCCUCAGCAUGCCCCUCUGGACACUCAUUGGUUUUUUUCUUCUGGUCUUUGCUUCUGGGUAGAAGGAAAUUGGGGGGAUCCCUGGGUGGCUCAGAGGUUUAGCGCCUGCCUUCAGUCCAGGGCGUGAUCCUGGAGACCCGGGAUCGAGUCCCAUGUCGGGCUCCCUGCAUGGAGCCUGUUUCUCCCUCUGCCUG